UGUUUGCAAAAUUUCAAAUACAGAACAUACAAAAGUUUCUCAUUUUAUGAGCAAUUCUUUGACUGUGAGGGUGCUCUUAGAGAAGGCAUUUAAUUCCCAUGCAUGGUACACACUUGACAUGCUCACUGGUGUUGCAGUACAGGUGUGUUGUACUGCAAAGAUAGUUGCUGUGUACAGUUUCUUUUCAAACACCUUGUGGAAAUUUGUGAAGCGUAUAUGAAUAUUCAACAUUCCUUAAAUAUUUGUGGUGUUGACAGUUUUCUGAAUUUCACAGAAAAACAAGUUCAGAGAUAAACAUGGGACUGGAGAACUUCUCUUUGACGGCAGUCAUCUGAUGUACUACUCAUCCCUACUCAGAUUCAUAACAAAAUGCCACAAACAAUUUUCAAACCAUGUCAUCUCACUACCACUUAAUCUCCAAAGGGCAUUUUACUGUUAAAAUAAGGUGUAUCACUGUUUCCUAUUGAUCUGUUUAAAAUCCAGAGAGCAAGAAGACCAGAAUAUACCGAUACAAGCAUUUAUUACCCCAAAGCAAGCCACCAUCCAUGAAGCUCCAAUAGUAGCUAGUGGAGAGGGUGACAAGGAAAAGGAGAAAAAAACAGUCACAGAGACAGUGCUGAAUAAUGACCCUUUAACAGAGAAUAAAGGAGCCACGGAGGAAGAUCAAGAAAAGCAAGAGGACCGAGAACUCAGGCAACUGUGGUUGACUGACCUUUGCUAACAAUGGGGAAUAUCAUGUCCAGAUUGUGUACUAUAAUAAUAAUAAUACAGCAUUUGUAGUGCGCAAAUUCCAUGUGGAUAUGGUCAAAUGCGCAUUAUAACAUAUCAGUAUUUUAAAAGGUAAUAUUUUUUAAAUUCUUGUUCAUCAAUAAUGCUAUGUUGAAGUUAAUUUGUACGCGAAUCCGACAAUUAUUUCAUUUUCCUUUUCACCAUCUUGUGAGUUGUUUAGGAAUGUUCUCCGUCAUUUCAUUUUAUUAGGAAUUAACUCAAUAAAAAAAAACGAAUCUCCAACACUC